AGCGAACGCUGGCGGCAGGCUUAACACAUGCAAGUCGAGCGCUCGUAGCAAUACGAGAGCGGCAGACGGGAGAGUAACACGUGGGAACGUACCCUUUGGUUCGGAACAACACAGGGAAACUUGUGCUAAUACCGGAUAAGCCCUUACGGGGAAAGAUUUAUCGCCAAAGGAUCGGCCCGCGUCUGAUUAGCUAGUUGGUGGGGUAACGGCUCACCAAGGCGACGAUCAGUAGCUGGCUGAGAGGAUGACCAGCCUCAUUGGGACUGAGACACGGCCCAAACUCCUACGGGAGGCAGCAGUGGGGAAUAUUGGACAAUGGGCGCAAGCCUGAUCCGGCCAUGCCGCGUGGAUGAUGAAGGCCUUAGGGUUGUAAAGUCCUUUUAACGGGGAAG
rnacentral:rRNA from 1 species